AUUUGAUGAUGGGACAACUUGCGCAUAACUUCUUAAAUCUCUCCUAAUACUCAUACAAACUCUCUUCAUUGUACUGCCGGAUGCCACAAAUUUCUUUUCUUAUAUU